UACGAAGGGGGGCUAGCGUUGUUCGGAAUUACUGGGCGUAAAGGGCGCGUAGGCGGCCUCGUCCGUCCGGCGUGAAAUGCCUGGGCUCAACCUAGGAAUUGCGCUCGAUACAGCGAGGCUAGAGUGUGGGAGAGGUUGGUGGAAUACCCAGUGUAGAGGUGAAAUUCGUAGAGAUUGGGUGGAACACCAGUGGCGAAGGCGCCUAUCUGGCCGAUAACUGACGCUGAGACUCGAAAGCAUGGGGAGCAAACAGG
rnacentral:rRNA from 1 species